AAGUAAUUGGGGUUGGGCUGCCCUGGCCUGUCUAUGCCGAACAACGUGCAUGCAAUUAUGUCACAUGAUACAAUAUUGAACAAGAUUAAAUGAAUCAAUUCACACACAAUUGAGCUUAAAUUUGCUGAGUAUUUAGGAUAAUUGACCUUACCAAACUCGUUGACAAAAAUGGCCUAUUCGAAAUAUUAAAAUAACAAGUGGAUUGUGACACAAAUAUUCCCUUCCUAACUAAUUCCUACUCGUUUACCCUUUUAAUAUAAACAGUCAAAUUCCCCAUUCCACCGAGGUUUAACGUAGCAUUCACUAAUUAGAUUAAUCCUAAUUAAUCCUAAUUUUAUUAAUCUUUUCCAAACUUAAAGCAUCAACAGUUUUUCAAGUAAAAAAUUUAUGGAAAAUUCCUCCACAGGUAAUCGGGAAAGGACAAUAUACACUGGAAUUUUGACAAAUACUUUUCGUUAUUAACUUAUGUUAGUCUACCGGUCUAAAUUUAUUAAAAUAUUUUAUUGUGGUGUAUUUGGAUGUGGGAAUAAUGAGAUUUAAAAAUAUUUUAAUAGAUCAAAAUCAUUAUUAACUUAAAUAAAAAUUUAUGAAAAUUGUUAAUAGGAGGCAUGAUCCCCAUACAUCAUAGUAAAGUACCAAAACCGAAUUAAACGAAAGAAAAAAAUGGAAAACAUCUCUAGUGUAAAGGUGUACACAAUCACUUCUUAAGAUGACGUGUCAUUUUAAUUUGGUAUGCCUAAUUGCCAAGUCAAAGUCGCAUUUAGUAUGGAUAUUGACUCCUAAAAUUCAAAGAAGAAAACGCGCUUUUACGGUACAUAUGAACCUUGGAACAAAUUACGAUGUUGAAAUUGUAGUGUUUGACAGGCUGGCAAUGUUUGGUUUAAUUUAAUUUCGAUUUUUUUUUUUUUUGAUUUAAUCACCGACGAUUAGACUUUCCUUUAAGUCAACCUAAUGAAAUAAACCCAUUAUCUUGCAUGCACAUAGAGGUUGUACAGUUACAUGGUGAAACUUGUACGUGGUAUACAAUUAGCGGGUUUAAACAUAAUCCUAGUAGUUUCCCUAAGUGCAAUUUGAGAAUCCAUUUGCUGUAUUAAAUUAUUAAUCAGUGACUUGCAAAAUGAGGAUUACUCUUUUCAAUACCCGCAUUAAGUCAACGACGCAAUCUACAAGUUUACAUCUUUCCGCGUGUUCGAAACUGCAGUGUGACUUUGAAGUCAAUUGCUUGGAUGCUAUUAUUGAGGUUUUUUUUUUUUUUUUGGGAGAUACCCCAUUAUUAUGUGAUAUAUCUCAAUUGUUAUUAAUACUGAUCUGCAUAUCCACUUGAAAAGAAUAUGGCUCAAAAUUAAAAAAGGUCGAGUUGGUGGUAAAAAAUAUUUAAGUAUAAUAAAUUUG
rnacentral:lncRNA from 1 species